UGGUUCCCAAGCCAUGCCUGACUGGUCUGAGCAUAACUUCCUUUUCCAUCCAAGUCAAGGACGACACCAGGUAAAAGAACUGGUGUAAGGUCCAGGAAGCAGGACCCCCUCCAAGGGAUCAGGCUGCGGACUGACCACCUGGCCUGGGGACCAGCACCAAUCUACCACUGUUGUCCUCCGGUCCACAGCGAAGGUGAGAAAGAUAAGGACAAACAGCAAGGUUGGCAUAAAGCUAAUUCACACAACCUG
rnacentral:lncRNA from 1 species